rnacentral:sRNA from 1 species
GCGGGAGCCAUCUCAUUUGGCAUCGCCCCUUGUCUCGGGCCGGUGGGGAGUGGGCGAGGGUUAUAGUCACUCUCCCGAUUCAGGGACUGCCCAUCCCGGCACCCAGUCCUCAUCCCAUGGGACGUGGGGGCAGCCAGGGAGAGGGCAAAGGCCCCCGUUCCCGUCCAGGUCCAUCUGUCCAUGGAGGGAAACAUCGUGGAGAUGGAGGUGCUUCUGUGGGGCGAGAAUGUGGCCUAGAACUACACCCAGAGUGGGGGGUUGGGGCAGAGAGACUGGGUCGUGGCUCAGGUCAGAAUCUGGGCUGCUGAUGGGAUGCAGGUGGCAGCAUGGGCACCUGCAAGACCCUCGGGGAGGGGUACUGAGUGGGGCCCGACCAGAGGUCUGGGACACUCUAAGACUGAGGCCCCCACCCUACAGUCACUCACUUCCCUCAGGACACAGGGCUGCAGGUGUGAGCUGAGCUGCCGAUGGCUUGGGGCCUGCAAGAGAGGCCUGGGCCACCGGCUGCUGUGGGUGGCUGCUCUCUCUGGUUCAGGAAGUGCCUAGGCUGGCCAAGUCUGGGGAAAGUGGGCUGGCCCGGGGCUCCUCCUGAGUUCUGCCAGGCAGCACCGCACCUGGGAUGGGCACCAACCAUGUCCGUCUCCUCCCUUCCUGCAGUCCAGGGCCAAGGCUUGUGUUCAAUCGUGUGAAUGGCCGGCGGGCCCCCUCCACGUCCCCAUCCUUCGAGGGGACCCAGGAGACCUACACAGUGGCCCACGAGGAGAAUGUCCGCUUUGUGUCCGAAGGUAGCGAGCGGGGCCAGAGGGUGCGGCAUAGGCUGCUGGGUCGCAAAAACAUGGACCCGGGAUGGCCCCACUUCAAGCUGACCCACAGCCGCUGCAGGGCUGUGCUUUUCCUUGGCACUCUGCCCUUGUGUCCUGUGACCAGCCCUGUGUGGGGCUGGAGUCCAGGGUGACCAUCAGGCCCUGGGUGGGCGAUGGGGUGCCUGGGACCUGGCUCAGCCCGACUGCCCUCCUCCCACAGCCUGGCAGCAGGUGCAACAGCAGCUGGAUGGUGGCCCAGCCGGUGAGGGCGGGCCAAGGCCUGUGCAGUACGUGGAGAGGACCCCCAAUCCCCGGCUGCAGAGUGAGCCCCCCAACCCUGUCCCCCCAGGAGAGACCCCCCAGCCCCUCUGAUCCUGACCCAGGCCCUGCCAGGUUCCCACCCCAGGGGAUGAGGGAGGGGACUCUUGUGCAGAAACCCCUUCUUCCCAGCGCCUGCCGCACUCGGAGUCCGGGUGAGCGGCUUGUGGUUAGCUCCAGGGUAGACUUGCUGGCUGGCCUGGGAGGCAGCAUCACUGCCCAGCCUUCUCUGCCCACAGACUUUGUGCCCAUUGACCUAGACGAGUGGUGGGCGCAGCAGUUCCUGGCGAGAAUCACCAGCUGUUCCUAGUGGCUGCUGGGAGGGGGCGCUGCUACACGGCUGACCUGUCGCCAGGAGAGAAGCAUGGCGCCCUGCCCACCCACUGCGCCUGGCUGGGUGCCGGCCACACCUGAAGUGCCAGCAUUUGGACUUUUGCACCUGUUUUUCCCUUGGCCCGGCUGUCCGAACCAAGCUGCCAUGGCCAAGGGCCGAACCCGUCUGACCUCAGCCCUGCUCACUUUGCCCAGGGACCAGCGACCAGCCCCUGGGGCUGGCAGGGAGGAGCUCCAGGCUAAUAAAGUGGAGAAACUGUC